GGAAGAAAUUAACUACUUGAUCAUAAGCCCCCAGACCUAGUGGCACCUCCUAAGUACUGAUACAGUUAACACCUAUGCAACAACCUUAUCUCCUCACCAUCAACCAAUCAGAGAACUGUGCAUGAGCUGAUCAUGUGCUCUGGGACAUCCCUCCCCUACGUGGCCUUUAUAAAUGCUUUGCUGAGCUGCUUAGAAAAGUUUGUUUUUUCUGGUGCUAGCUGCCUUGUACUUCUUGCUUGGUGCCACAAAAUAGACCUGCACUCUCCUUCACUGCAACCCAGUGUCAUUAGAGUGGCUUUGCUGUGCAUAGGUUUGGUCUGGUAACAGUUUGCCAUUAUUCUAAAAGCACUGUUUAGGACUUUUUUUUUUUUUUUUCAAACAAGGUGUAAGUGAACCACAGAGGACUGGAAAGAAUUGAAGAGACAGCUGAGUCUAAUCACUUCUUUAUGUGGUUGAAUAACGUCAGUUUCAAAAUGUUCAACCAACUUUCCCAAGGUUGUGUAACUGAUUAAUGUCUGAACUGAUCUAGAAGACUAAUUCAUGAAAAAAAUACUGUUGUUCUCUAACAUCCUGUGAAAUCAAAUUGGUAAGUGGAUAAUUUGGCAAAUUUAUUAUUUUCAAAGUGGCAAAUAUUUUCAUAUUUUUGGACCUAUAGUCUAUCAAAUUGUCAGUGUUUACCAAAAUGACUCAUGCAUCCCUUCAUUUUUAUCUAUACAUGGAUAGCAAAAUAGUGUUUUACUUUAUCAUGAUAAGGAUAACAAGAAUUAAAAGGACCUCAAAACUGAUACAUAAAGAUAUUAAAUUUAAUAUUUGUAAGGGAAUGACCUUCAAAGUCUUGGAGUCUUGUAUUGUUAUGUGUGUAUAUUUGUGUGUGGGAUUUAGUAUGGUAUGGACAUUAUAGUAUAAUCAGUAUUCUAGAGGAUGACUUAGAUUUUCUUAAAAAGCAAAAAAUAUUAAUGAAUGCAUUGUCUUGAAAUGACUAUAAGUCUUUUCAUGGGACUGAAAUAGGCUGAAAUAUAGUCAGCUAUAUUUUUUUAAAAUUCAUUGAAAAAAUUCUCUAUGUUGACUUUGACAAACAUUUUCUGUAUAAUAUUAAGAAAGUUUUCUAUUACUAGUAGGAAAAGUAUGCAGAAAUGUGUUAAGGAAAAAUAUAUAUGUUGUUGCAAACAAAUGCACACACGUAUAGGUUUGCAGCGCUAAAUGUAAUUUCUGGUUUGGAAGUUUGUUGUGUUAUAUUUUGGUUUUAUGAAUUCUCAUCACACUUGAGACUCAGUUCUGACUUCACAUUUGUGUAAUGUAUGUGGACUGUUUAAACUAUUAGCUUUUUUUUCUCACAACUUGUGAUUAUGGUACUUGAGAAUAAAAAGCAACACAGUCAUCUUAUUUUUUUCUGUUAGUAUUGUAAUUGAAAGAGUUUCAGUGUAAAUGUAUUAUCAUUUUGAGAUAAAGUAUUUCAUUAUUUUUAUUAGGGCAUUUUAAAAGUUUUUUAUAUUAUCUGCUAUAAUUCUUAAUUUAAUAUCUGAUGAUAUUUCUUUAUUUUGCAUGCUUUGUGAUUUUUAUUUGGUUCAAAUAUUGUCAAGGUGACAAAAAUCAAAAAAGAAAUGAAAAGAAUUAUUUG